GAUUAACGCUAGCGGCAGGCCUAAUACAUGCAAGUCGAACGGCAGCACGGGUAGCAAUACCUGGUGGCGAGUGGCGCACGGGUGCGUAACGCGUAUGCAACCUACCUAUAACUGGGGAAUAGCCUUCUGAAAGGAAGAUUAACACCGCAUAAUAUCACGAGACGGCAUCGCCUUGUGAUCAAAUCUCCGGAGGUUAUAGAUGGGCAUGCGUGACAUUAGCUAGUUGGUGAGGUAACGGCCCACCAAGGCUACGAUGUCUAGGGGGUCUGAGAGGAUGAUCCCCCACACUGGUACUGAGACACGGACCAGACUCCUACGGGAGGCAGCAGUAAGGAAUAUUGGACAAUGGGCGCAAGCCUGAUCCAGCCAUGCCGCGUGAAGGAUGACGGCCCUCUGGGUUGUAAACUUCUUUUAUACGGGAAUAAACCCCUCGAUUCUUCGAGGGCUGAAUGUACUGUAAGAAUAAGGAUCGGCUAACUUCGUGCCAGCCGCCGCGGUAA
rnacentral:rRNA from 1 species